rnacentral:rRNA from 1 species
AUUGAACGCUGGCGGCAGGCUUAACACAUGCAAGUCGAGCGGGGGAAGGUAGCUUGCUACCGGACCUAGCGGCGGGCGGGUGAGUAAUGCUUAGGAAUCUGCCUCUUAGUGGGGGAAAACAUCUCGAAAGGGAUGCUAAUAACGCAUACGUCCUACGGGAGAAAGCAGGGGAUGUUCGGACCUUGCGGCAAUAGGUGAGUCUAAGUCGGAUUAGCAAGUUGGUGGGGUAAAGGCCUACCAAGGCGACGAUCUGUAGCGGGUCUGAAAGGAUGAUCCGCCACACUGGGACUGGGACACGGCCCAGACUCCUACGGGAGGCAGCAGUGGGGAAUAUUGGACAAUGGGGGGAACCCUGAUCCAGCCAUGCCGCGUGUGUGAAGAAGGCCUUAUGGUUGUAAAGCACUUUAAGCGAGGAGGAGGCUACUUUAGUUAAUACCUAGAGAUAGUGGACGUUACUCGCAGAAUAAGCACCGGCUAACUCUGUGCCAGCCGCCGCAGUAG